GGGUAUAUAGCCCAGUGGUAGAGCGUGUGCUUAGCAUGCACAAGGUCCAGGGUUCCAUCCCCAGUAUCUCCA
rnacentral:tRNA from 1 species